rnacentral:rRNA from 1 species
UACAGAGGGGGCAAGCGUUGUUCGGAAUUACUGGGCGUAAAGGGCGCGUAGGCGGCCCGCUAAGUCGAACGUGAAAUCCCCGGGCUUAACCCGGGAACUGCGUCCGAUACUGGCAGGCUUGAAUCCGGGAGAGGGAUGUGGAAUUCCAGGUGUAGCGGUGAAAUGCGUAGAUAUCUGGAGGAACACCGGUGGCGAAGGCGGCAUCCUGGACCGGUAUUGACGCUGAGGCGCGAAAGCUAGGGGAGCAAACGGG